rnacentral:rRNA from 1 species
CCUACGGGAGGCAGCAGUGAGGAAUAUUGGUCAAUGGACGCAAGUCUGAACCAGCCAUGCCGCGUGCAGGAAGACGGCUCUAUGAGUUGUAAACUGCUUUUGUACGAGGGUAAACGCAGAUACGCGUAUCUGUCUGAAAGUAUCGUACGAAUAAGGAUCGGCUAACUCCGUGCCAGCAGCCGCGGUAAUACGGAGGAUUCAAGCGUUAUCCGGAUUUAUUGGGUUUAAAGGGUGCGUAGGCGGUCGGAUAAGUUAGAGGUGAAAUCCCGAGGCGCAACGUCGGAAUUGCCUCUGAUACUGUUCGGCUAGAGAGUAGUUGCGGUAGGCGGAAUGUAUGGUGUAGCGGUGAAAUGCUUAGAGAUCAUACAGAACACCGAUUGCGAAGGCAGCUUACCAAGCUACUUCUGACGUUGAGGCACGAAAGCGUGGGGAGCGAACAGGAUUAGAUACCCCUGUAGUC